UGUGUGCAUGUUUAUGUGUGUGCAUACAUGCACAUGUGUGUAUAACACAGCUCUACACUGAAGCAAAUGAACACA
rnacentral:miRNA from 1 species